rnacentral:rRNA from 1 species
GAGUUUGAUCAUGGCUCAGGAUGAACGCUGGCGGCGUGCUUAACACAUGCAAGUCGAACGAAGCGCCUUAUUUGAUUUUCUUCGGAACUGAAGAUUUGGUGACUGAGUGGCGGACGGGUGAGUAACGCGUGGGGUAACCCGCCCUGUACAGGGGGAUAACAAUCAGAAAUGACUGCUAAUACCGCAUAAGACCACAGCACCGCAUGGUGCAGGGGUAAAAACUCCGGUGGUACAGGAUGGACCCGCGUCUGAUUAGCUGGUUGGUGAGGUAACGGCUCACCAAGGCGACGAUCAGUAGCCGGCUUGAGAGAGUGAACGGCCACAUUGGGACUGAGACACGGCCCAAACUCCUACGGGAGGCAGCAGUGGGGAAUAUUGCACAAUGGGGGAAACCCUGAUGCAGCAACGCCGCGUGAGUGAAGAAGUAUUUCGGUAUGUAAGCUCUAUCAGCAGGGAAGAAAGUGACGGUACCUGACUAAGAAGCCCCGGCUAACUACGUGCCAGCAGCCGCGGU